GGGAAUCUGCCCCUUGGUUCGGAAUAACCGUUGGAAACGACGGCUAAUACCGGAUGAUGACGUAAGUCCAAAGAUUUAUCGCCGAGGGAUGAGCCCGCGUAGGAUUAGGUAGUUGGUGUGGUAAAGGCGCACCAAGCCGACGAUCCUUAGCUGGUCUGAGAGGAUGAUCAGCCACACUGGGACUGAGACACGGCCCAGACUCCUACGGGAGGCAGCAGUGGGGAAUAUUGGACAAUGGGCGAAAGCCUGAUCCAGCAAUGCCGCGUGAGUGAUGAAGGCCUUAGGGUUGUAAAGCUCUUUUACCCGGGAUGAUAAUGACAGUACCGGGAGAAUAAGCUCCGGCUAACUCCGUGCCAGCAGCCGCGGUAAUACGGAGGGAGCUAGCGUUAUUCGGAAUUACUGGGCGUAAAGCGCACGUAGGCGGCUUUGUAAGUUAGAGGUGAAAGCCCAGAGCUCAACUCUGGAAUUGCCUUUGAUACUGCAUCGCUUGAAUCCAGGAGAGGUGAGUGGAAUUCCGAGU
rnacentral:rRNA from 1 species